rnacentral:rRNA from 1 species
AUUGAACGCUGGCGGCAGGCCUAACACAUGCAAGUCGAGCGGAUGAAGGGAGCUUGCUCCUGGAUUCAGCGGCGGACGGGUGAGUAAUGCCUAGGAACCUGCCUGGUAGUGGGGGAUAACGUCCGGAAACGGGCGCUAAUACCGCAUACGUCCUGAGGGAGAAAGUGGGGGAUCUUCGGACCUCACGCUAUCAGAUGAGCCUAGGUCGGAUUAGCUAGUUGGUGGGGUAAAGGCCUACCAAGGCGACGAUCCGUAACUGGUCUGAGAGGAUGAUCAGUCACACUGUAACUGAGACACGGUCCAGACUCCUACGGGAGGCAGCAGUGGGGAAUAUUGGACAAUGGGCGAAAGCCUGAUCCAGCCAUGCCGCGUGUGUGAAGAAGGUCUUCGGAUUGUAAAGCACUUUAAGUUGGGAGGAAGGGCAGUAAGUUAAUACCUUGCUGUUUUGACGUUACCAACAGAAUAAGCACCGGCUAACUUCGUG